rnacentral:rRNA from 1 species
GGAUAGCGGAGAAAUUCCAAUCGAACUCGGAGAUAGCUGGUUCUCCUCGAAAUAGCUUUAGGGCUAGCCUUGAGGUAAAGUCUAAUGGAGGUAAAGCACUGAUUGGACGCGGGUCCCCAAAAGGAUACCAACUUCUAUCAAACUCAGAAUGCCAUAUAGAUAUACUCAGGAGUCAGACUAUGUGAGAUAAGUUUCAUAGUCAAAAGGGAAAGAGCCCAGACCGACAGCUAAGGUCCCAAAGUGUGUGUUAAGUGGAAAAGGAUGUUAGGUUUCUAAGACAACUAGGAUGUUGGCUCAGAAGCAGCCACUCAUUUAAAGAGUGCGUAACAGCUCACUAGUCGAGAGGUCUAGCGCCGAAAAUGUCCGGGGCUAAAACACACCACCGAAGCUACGGAAUUACCUAUGGUAAUUGGUAGAGGAGCAUUCUGUAAGGAUGAAGCACAAUUGAAAGAGAGUGUGGACGAAACAGAAGAGAGAAUGCCGGAAUGAGUAGCGAGAUAUAUGUGAGAAUCAUAUAGGUCGAAUGUCUAAGGUUUCCUGGGUAAAGCUGAUCUGCUCAGGGUAAGUCGGGACCUAAGGUGAGGGCGAGAGCCGUAAUCGAUGGACAACAGGUAGAAAUUCCUGUACUACGUAUAAUCAGAACUGUGGGGACGCAGGAGGAUAGGAAAACCGGAGAAUGGAAAAAUCCGGCUAAGUACAAAGGUGUGAGUGAUAGGCAAAUCCGUCACUAUUAGCUGAAGUACGAAUGGGAGCGAAGAAAAGUAGCGAAGUUUCUGAAUCCACACUGUCAAGAAAAGCCGCUAUUGCGUUAUACGUACCCGUACCGCAAACCGACACAGGUAGACGAGGAGAAAAUCCACAGACCGACGGGAGAAGUGUUGUUAAGGAACUCGGCAAAAUGACCCCGUAACUUAGGGAUAAGGGGAGCCAACGCAAGUUGGUCACAGAAAAGAGGCUCAAGCGACUGUUUAGCAAAAACAUAGGUCUAUGCGAAACCGUAAGGUGAUGUAUAUGGGCUGACACCUGCCCGGUGCUGGAAGGUCAAAAGGAGAGGUUAGCGCAAGCGAAGCCUUGAAUUCAAGCCCCAGUAAACGGCGGCCGUAACUAUAACGGUCCUAAGGUAGCGAAAUUCCUUGUCAGGUAAGUUCUGACCCGCACGAAAGGUGUAACGAUUUGAGCACUGUCUCGACAACACGCCCGGUGAAAUUGAAGAACCAGUGAAGAUACUGGUUACCCGCAACAGGACGGAAAGACCCCAUGGAGCUUUACUGCAGCUUAAUAUUGGGAUUCGGUAUUGUAUGUACAGGAUAGGAGGGAGACUAAGAAGCUAGCACGCCAGUGUUGGUGGAGUCGAUGGUGGGAUACCUCUCUUAUAAUACUGAAUUUCUAACCUACUUCCGUGAUCCGGAAGAGGGACAUUGUUAGGCGGGCAGUUUGACUGGGGCGGUCGCCUCCGAAAGAGUAACGGAGGCGCUCAAAGGUCUUCUCAGAAUGAUUGGAAACCAUUCAAAGAGUGUAAAGGCAAAAGAAGGCUUGACUGCGAGAGUGACAACUCGAGCAGGUACGAAAGUAGGACUUAGUGAUCCGGUGGUAACAAGUGGGAGUGCCAUCGCUUAACGGAUAAAAGCUACCCUGGGGAUAACAGGCUUAUCUCCCCCAAGAGUUCACAUCGACGGGGAGGUUUGGCACCUCGAUGUCGGCUCAUCGCAUCCUGGGGCUGUAUUCGGUCCCAAGGGUUUGGCUGUUCGCCAAUUAAAGCGGCACGCGAGCUGGGUUCAGAACGUCGUGAGACAGUUCGGUCCCUAUCCGUCGCGGGCGUAGGAAAUUUGAGAGGAUCUGCUCCUAGUACGAGAGGACCAGAGUGGACUUACCGCUGGUGUACCAGUUGUUCUGCCAAGAGCAUCGCUGGGUAGCUAUGUAGGGAAGGGAUAAACGCUGAAAGCAUCUAAGUGUGAAGCCCACCUCAAGAUGAGAUUUCCCAUGAUUUUAUAUCAGUAAGAGCCCUGAGAGAUGAUCAGGUUGAUAGGUUAGAAGUGGAAGUGUGGUGACACAUGUAGCGGACUAAUACUAAUAGCUCGAGGACUUAUCCAA